GCGUAUGAGAAGGCUUGGUUGUAACCUUGGAAGAGACGUCCAGAAGAGCACCGGUAACUCUGCCACGCCCGUACAGGUGCAGCUUAUCGGAAUUACUGGGCGUAGCGCAGGUGUAAGACGGUGAAAUCCCGGCUACCUGAAUGCACUGGUCUGAGUGCGAGGGAUGGAAUCCGUGUACAGUAAAUGCGUAAUAUGGAGAACACCGUGCAAGGCCUGCCGUGGGGAGCAAACAGGAUUAGAUACCCUGGUAGUCCACGCCCUAACGAUGAACUGGUGUUUACAAUAACGCGUGAAGUCGCCUGGGGUCGGCCGCAAGGUAAAAAGGAUGACGGGCGCAAGCGGUGGAUGGGUUAAUUCAACAAAACUCCUUGACGUACGGUGAUGC
rnacentral:rRNA from 1 species